rnacentral:rRNA from 1 species
AUUGAACGCUGGCGGCAUGCCUUACACAUGCAAGUCGAACGGCAGCACGGGAGCAAUCCUGGUGGCGAGUGGCGAACGGGUGAGUAAUAUAUCGGAACGUGCCCAGUCGUGGGGAUAACGUAGCGAAAACUACGCUAAUACCGCAUACUAUCUAUGGAUGAAAGCGGGGGAUCGCAAGACCUCGCGCGAUUGGAGCGGCCGAUAUCAGAUUAGGUAGUUGGUGAGGUAAAGGCUCACCAAGCCGACGAUCUGUAGCUGGUCUGAGAGGACGACCAGCCACACUGGGACUGAGACACGGCCCAGACUCCUACGGGAGGCAGCAGUGGGGAAUUUUGGACAAUGGACGCAAGUCUGAUCCAGCCAUUCCGCGUGCAGGAUGAAGGCCCUCGGGUUGUAAACUGCUUUUGUACGGAACGAAAGGUUUCUAUUAAUACUAGGAGCUCAUGACGGUACCGUAAGAAUAAGCACCGGCUAACUACGUGCCAG